rfam:Oryza sativa Japonica Group DNA, chromosome 11, cultivar: Nipponbare, complete sequence.
AAAAAGGCAAACCCUGAGUUUCCGUGUCCAACUUUGACUGUCCGUCUUAUAUAAAAUUUUUUUAUAAUUCAUAUUUUCAUUGUUGUUAGAUGAUAAAACAUGAUUAAUAUUUUAUGUGUGACUUAUCUUUUCAAUUUUUUUCAUAAUUUUUUCAAAUAAAACGGACAGUCAAACGUUGAUUACGGAAAUCAAGGUUUGUCUUUCUU